rnacentral:misc_RNA from 1 species
UCCGGUUUGGCACCUGUGUUCCCGUUCCCUUUCGGGCACAGCCCCCUCUCAGGGGCCUCCAGGACAUGUCAAGGGUAGGUAAGGUUUUUCGCGUUGCAUCGAAUUAAUCCACAUAAUCCACCGCUUGUGCGGGUCCCCGUCAAUUCCUUUGAGUUUUAACCUUGCGGCCGUACUCCCCAGGCGGUCGACUUCACGCGUUAGCUUCGUUACUGAGAGUGUCAAACCCCCAACAACCAGUCGACAUCGUUUAGGGCGUGGACUAC